rnacentral:rRNA from 1 species
CCUACGGGAGGCAGCAGUGGGGAAUUUUGGACAAUGGGCGCAAGCCUGAUCCAGCAAUGCCGCGUGAGUGAAGAAGGCCUUCGGGUUGUAAAGCUCUUUUGUCAGGGAAGAAACGGUGGGAGCUAAUAUCUCCCGCUAAUGACGGUACCUGAAGAAUAAGCACCGGCUAACUACGUGCCAGCAGCCGCGGUAAUACGUAGGGUGCAAGCGUUAAUCGGAAUUACUGGGCGUAAAGCGUGCGCAGGCGGUUUUGUAAGUCUGUCGUGAAAGCCCCGGGCUCAACCUGGGAAUUGCGAUGGAGACUGCAAGGCUUGAAUCUGGCAGAGGGGGGUAGAAUUCCACGUGUAGCAGUGAAAUGCGUAGAGAUGUGGAGGAACACCGAUGGCGAAGGCAGCCCCCUGGGUCAAGAUUGACGCUCAUGCACGAAAGCGUGGGGAGCAAACAGGAUUAGAUACCCUGGUAGUCCACGCCCUAAACGAUGUCUACUAGUUGUCGGGUUUUAAUUAACUUGGUAACGCAGCUAACGCGUGAAGUAGACCGCCUGGGGAUACGGUCGCAAGNUUAAAACUUAAUGAAUUGACGG